UUUUUAUUUUUUAUUUUUUAACUUUAGUUUUUCUAAUAUCUACACGCGUUGUCACGGAUUUUUCUGCUUUUCUGCCAUCACCUCAAGUUUGGAGUUCUAACUGCGACACAUCUCUCACAUCAGAAUUUCCAAACGUCAGCAAAUUAUACGGUACAAUACCAGCGCAAGUAAAAUAAUAAGCAAACCAAUCGAAAUAAACGAAUGAACAACGAGCGAACGAACGUUUUUGCUGCUGAUGCGCCACGGCAAACGAACGAGGAGCGAAUGUCGUGACAAUUGUGCUGCUAUCAUCCAACAAGCUGGCAGCGGCAGCGGCUACGACAACGAAAAUUGCAAUAGCCGUUGUCGCGUCGUGGAGCGCUCGUUAACACAGGUAGCAGUAGUAACAACAACAUACACGUUAAACGUUAGCGCACAGUUAAGCAUUUAGUGAGUGUUGAGCGGCGAAAAACGUUCGGCAAACAUAUCAAUCAACACCUAAAAACUAUACUUUACUAAAUGUGUGUAAAAGAAAAUGCUUAAAAUUAAAUGAAAGAGUGAAUUGUGCUCUAUGCAAUCAACUCACACACAAAUACAUCCGGUAUACCGUUAAGUUAAAAGGGAAAUAGUAAAAAUGGCGCUCAAAGAGUGCCAUGGCAUGUUGUUAGUGCUGUCAUUUCUCUCUGACAUCGUCAUAGGGUUGCCAAUCUGGAAAAUGGCAGUAAAAUAAACUGUUUUAACCUUGUUGCGGUAGUUGCAUCUAGUAUCGUAAAGAAGCAAAAUAAAGAAUGCCAUUUAAACAACGAA